GACGAACGCUGGCGGCGUGCUUAACACAUGCAAGUCGAACGGAAAGGCCCUGCUUUUGUGGGGUGCUCGAGUGGCGAACGGGUGAGUAACACGUGAGUAACCUGCCCUUGACUUUGGGAUAACUUCAGGAAACUGGGGCUAAUACCGGAUAGGAGCUCCUGCUGCAUGGUGGGGGUUGGAAAGUUUCGGCGGUUGGGGAUGGACUCGCGGAUUAUCAGCUUGUUGGUGGGGUAGUGGAUUACCAAGGCUUUGGCGGGUAGCCGGCCUGAGAGGGUGACCGGCCACGUUGGGGAUAGGAUACGGCCAAGACUACUACGGGCGGCAGCAGUGGGGAAUAUUGAACAAUGGGCGGAAGCAUGAUGCAGCAACGCCGCGUGGGGGAUGACGGCCUUCGGGUUGUAACCCGCUUUCGCCUGUGACGAAGCGUGAGUGACGGUACUGGGUAAAGAAGCACCGGCUAACUACGU
rnacentral:rRNA from 1 species